rnacentral:rRNA from 1 species
GACGAAGGGGGCUAGCGUUGUUCGGAAUUACUGGGCGUAAAGCGCGUGUAGGCGGUUGUCCAAGUUGGAUGUGAAAGCCUUGAGCUUAACUCAAGAAAUGCAUUCAGGACUGGAUGACUAGAGGACCGGAGGGGAUAGUGGAAUUCCCAGUGUAGUGGUGAAAUACGUAGAGAUUGGGAAGAACACCAGUGGCGAAGGCGGCUAUCUGGACGGUUUCUGACGCUAAGACGCGAAAGCGUGGGGAGCAAACAGG